AUGGGAAACUUGACCCAAAAUCAGGACACGGCACCUGGGUGGGACCCGGUGGAGGAACUUUCGACACCCACCACGAGUACUCAUGCAGAGGUGGGGGCAGGUGCCCCGAAUGAGACGAGUGCUACGCUGCAGUUCGAGGCGGGCGGGGAGACGGUGACAUGCAUGGAGGAGCAAUGCCUAGUGGAUAGAGCGGGCUGCAUGGAUAUGGACGUGCCCAUGCACGCUACCAAUGAUCUACUUCUGCCACCCAAAGAGCAAAUUGCGGUAGCCAACAUCAAGGCUUUCUGCACGGGUUUACUGGAAAAAAAUUAG
rnacentral:rRNA from 1 species